AGUGAACGCUGGCGGUAGGCCUAACACAUGCAAGUCGAACGGCAGCACAGUAAGAGCUUGCUCUUACGGGUGGCGAGUGGCGGACGGGUGAGGAAUACAUCGGAAUCUACUUUUUCGUGGGGGAUAACGUAGGGAAACUUACGCUAAUACCGCAUACGACCUACGGGUGAAAGCAGGGGAUCUUCGGACCUUGCGCGAUUGAAUGAGCCGAUGUCGGAUUAGCUCGUUGGCGGGGUAAAGGCCCACCAAGGCGACGAUCCGUAGCUGGUCUGAGAGGUUGAUCAGCCACACUGGAACUGAGACACGGUCCAGACUCCUACGGGAGGCAGCAGUGGGGAAUAUUAGACAAGGGGCGCAAGCCUGAUCCAGCCAUACCGCGUGGAUGAAGAAGGCCUUCGGGUUGUAAAGCCCUUUUGUUGGGAAAGAAAAGCAGCAGGUUAAUACCCCGCUGUUCUGACGGUACCCAAAGAAUAAGCACCGGCUAACUUCGUG
rnacentral:rRNA from 1 species